rnacentral:misc_RNA from 1 species
AAGACAUUGUCCCAGGCGAGAGCCCACGGGUAACUACCGACUGUCCUCAACAGCUCUUCUGAUCCUUUCUCGACUAUCCCCUUCAGGAUUACGGUCUUGUGGUACCCUGAUAUGAGCUCUUCAUGAUCGGUAUCACCUCGUUCUCCGAGAAUCACGUACAUGUUCGAGACGUUCAGCCCCCAGCGGACAAACAGGUACCUCAGUGCUUGACCCCGAGACGCUAGAAGAGGAAUGACAU